rnacentral:rRNA from 1 species
GAUGAACGCUGGCGGCGUGCCUAAUACAUGCAAGUCGAGCGAACAGACGAGGAGCUUGCUCCUCUGACGUUAGCGGCGGACGGGUGAGUAACACGUGGAUAACCUACCUAUAAGACUGGGAUAACUUCGGGAAACCGGAGCUAAUACCGGAUAAUAUAUUGAACCGCAUGGUUCAAUAGUGAAAGACGGUUUUGCUGUCACUUAUAGAUGGAUCCGCGCCGCAUUAGCUAGUUGGUAAGGUAACGGCUUACCAAGGCAACGAUGCGUAGCCGACCUGAGAGGGUGAUCGGCCGCACUGGGAGGGAGACACGGUCCAGACUCCUACGGGAGGCAGCAGUAGGGAAUCCUCCGCAAUGGGCGAAAGCCUGACGGAGCAACGCCGCGUGAGUGAUGAAGGUCUUCGGAUCGUAAAACUCUGUUAUUAGGGAAGAACAAAUGUGUAAGUAACUAUGCACGUCUUGACGGUACCUAAUCAGAAAGCCACGGCUAACUACGUG